rnacentral:rRNA from 1 species
UAACACAUGCAAGUCGAGCGAAGCACUUUGCUUAGAUUCUUCGGAUGAAGAGGAUUGUGACUGAGCGGCGGACGGGUGAGUAACGCGUGGGUAACCUGCCUCAUACAGGGGGAUAACAGUUAGAAAUGACUGCUAAUACCGCAUAAGACCACAGCACCGCAUGGUGCAGGGGUAAAAACUCCGGUGGUAUGAGAUGGACCCGCGUCUGAUUAGCUAGUUGGUAAGGUAACGGCUUACCAAGGCGACGAUCAGUAGCCGACCUGAGAGGGUGACCGGCCACAUUGGGACUGAGACACGGCCCAAACUCCUACGGGAGGCAGCAGUGGGGAAUAUUGCACAAUGGGGGAAACCCUGAUGCAGCGACGCCGCGUGAGCGAAGAAGUAUUUCGGUAUGUAAAGCUCUAUCAGCAGGGAAGAAAAUGACGGUACCUGACUAAGAAGCACCGGCUAAAUACGUGCCAGCAGCCGCGGUAAUACGUAUGGUGCAAGCGUUAUCCGGAUUUACUGGGUGUAAAGGGAGCGUAGACGGAUGGGCAAGUCUGAUGUGAAAACCCGGGGCUCAACCCCGGGACUGCAUUGGAAACUGUUCAUCUAGAGUGCUGGAGAGGUAAGUGGAAUUCCUAGUGUAGCGGUGAAAUGCGUAGAUAUUAGGAGGAACACCAGUGGCGAAGGCGGCUUACUGG